CUCUUCUUCAAACAUGGUAUAACCAGGAAGUAGAAAUAGAUAGGAAAUCCUUGUCAGAUCCUUUUGCCUGAGGAACAGAAAGAGGAUUAGUAACAAUGGAUGGAAUACAACAUUCGUAGUCUAUGGUUUGAGUCUGAAUGUGCAACAGACAUGGAUCACUUGCAUGACAUCCAUUGACAAAAGACAUGCUCUGCCCCGUGAAAUCUGUUGGCGUGGAAAUGGGAUGACCUGUUGCUGGAGUUGAACAGAGUGAAAGGUAUUCAGGAGGGAGAGGACAACGUCGCCCCGCUGGACAAUUUACUGCCCUUCUCUGGGAAUUCCACUUGAUCCAGGUAUGGGAAUGGAGAGUGGGAAAAGCCAGAGCAGUGAACUAACCCUGGCAGUUUUAUCUUGAUUGUCAGAUAAAACAGUAUCUGCUGCUCUAAAGCUACAUAACAUACACGAGAGUCUUUAACAAAAAGCACUUUAGCUCCUCUUCACGUCCUGGUUUCUGAUACAAAAACCUCACAAACACUGUCAUUAGCAAGGCCAAUAAAAGUGCACAGAGGCCUGGAGCAUCUUCUGAAGACUUCUCUUUGAGGCAACAACAUACUUGUGGAAAAAUAAAAACCUUUCUUUCAAGUUCAUCAAUCAAAAUCUCUUAAAUACUGAAACUCUGCAGUGUAAAAGGGAUAUCAGUUAGGCUGUUUUCUUUGUAAAGUGUUUUAAAUAUGACCGCUGCAUCCUUAUGUAAGAGUGGGGAUAAAACUGUCCACUCAUAAAGAUGUAGGACUAUCCUGAUAAUAGUAUAACUCAAAAAAAAGAGGCUAUAAAAAUGGUUUGAUCCAUGACAGUGUUUCUGCCAGAUACUUAUUUUUGUCCAGAGUGAAAAAAACUGGGUACUGAGCCAGACACGCAGACACAGGUGGGUUAACACAGGUUUACAAAAUGGAUAGU